rnacentral:tRNA from 1 species
GGUCUCGUGGUGUGGUCACAUCUGUCUAACACACAGAAGGUCGGCGGUUCGAGCCCGCCCGAGAUCA